CACGUAGGGGGCGAGCGUUGUCCGGAUUUAUUGGGCGUAAAGAGCUCGUAGGUGGCUCGGUAAGUCGGGUGUGAAAUUUCGAGGCUCAACCUCGAAACGCCACCUGAUACUGCUGUGGCUUGAGUCCGGUAGGGGAGCGUGGAAUUCCUGGUGUAGCGGUGAAAUGCGCAGAUAUCAGGAGGAACACCAGCGGCGAAGGCGGCGCUCUGGGCCGGUACUGACACUGAGGAGCGAAAGCGUGGGGAUCAAACAGG
rnacentral:rRNA from 1 species